rnacentral:rRNA from 1 species
CCUACGGGGGGCUGCAGUGGGGAAUCUUGCGCAAUGGACGAAAGUCUGACGCAGCGACGCCGCGUGGGUGAUGAAGGCCUUCGGGUUGUAAAGCCCUGUGGGGAGAGAAGAAUAAGUGCGGGCUAAUACCCCGCAUGAUGACGGUAUCUCCUUAGCAAGCACCGGCUAACUCUGUGCCAGCAGCCGCGGUAAGACAGAGGGGGCAAUACUGGUUCGGAAUUACGGGGCGGAAAUCUGGUAUAGGCGGUGUGAAAGCCCCGGGCUCAACCCGGGAAGUGCACUCGAUACUGUUAGGCUAGAGUACUGGAGAGGUUGGUGGAAUUCUCGGUGUAGAGGUGAAAUUCGUAGAUAUCGAGAGGAACACCGGUGGCGAAGGCGGCCAACUGGACAGAUACUGACGCUGAGACACGAAAGCGUGGGGAGCAAACAGGAUUAGAUACCCCAGUAGUC